ACGAAUGGCGUAAUGAUGGCCAGGCUGUCUCCACCCGAGACUCAGUGAAAUUGAACUCGCUGUGAAGAUGCAGUGUACCCGCGGCAAGACGGAAAGACCCCGUGAACCUUUACUAUAGCUUGACACUGAACAUUGAGCCUUGAUGUGUAGGAUAGGUGGGAGGCUUUGAAGUGUGGACGCCAGUCUGCAUGGAGCCGACCUUGAAAUACCACCCUUUAAUGUUUGAUGUUCUAACGUGGACCCGUAAUCCGGGUUGCGGACAGUGUCUGGUGGGUAGUUUGACUGGGGCGGUCUCCUCCUAAAGAGUAACGGAGGAGCACGAAGGUUGGCUAAUCCUGGUCGGACAUCAGGAGGUUAGUGCAAUGGCAUAAGCCAGCUUGACUGCGAGCGUGACGGCGCGAGCAGGUGCGAAAGCAGGUCAUAGUGAUCCGGUGGUUCUGAAUGGAAGGGCCAUCGCUCAACGGAUAAAAGGUACUCCGGGGAUAACAGGCUGAUACCGCCCAAGAGUUCAUAUCGACGGCGGUGUUUGGCACCUCGAUGUCGGCUCAUCACAUCCUGGGGCUGAAGUAGGUCCCAAGGGUAUGGCUGUUCGCCAUUUAAAGUGGUACGCGAGCUGGGUUUAGAACGUCGUGAGACAGUUCGGUCCCUAUCUGCCGUGGGCGCUGGAGAACUGAGGGGGGCUGCUCCUAGUACGAGAGGACCGGAGUGGACGCAUCACUGGUGUUCGGGUUGUCAUGCCAAUGGCACUGCCCGGUAGCUAAAUGCGGAAGAGAUAAGUGCUGAAAGCAUCUAAGCACGAAACUUGCCCCGAGAUGAGUUCUCCCUGAGACUUUAGGUCUCCUGAAGGAACGUUGAAGACGACGACGUUGAUAGGCCGGGUGUGUAAGCGCAGCGAUGCGUUGAGCUAACCGGUACUAAUGAACCGUGAGGCUUAACCUU
rnacentral:rRNA from 1 species